rnacentral:rRNA from 1 species
UACGUAGGCAGCAAGCGUUGUUCGGAAUUACUGGGCGUAAAGAGUGUGUAGGCGGUUUUCUAAGUUUGGUGUGAAAUCUCCCGGCUUAACUGGGAGGGUGCGCCGAAAACUGGAAGGCUUGAGUGCCGGAGAGGAUAGCGGAAUUCCCGGUGUAGCGGUGAAAUGCGUAGAUAUCGGGAAGAACACCCGUGGCGAAGGCGGCUCUCUGGAACGCAACUGACGCUGAGACGCGAAAGCGUGGGGAGCAAACAGG